GCUUAAUAAUAGGUUCACCACAAAUAUUAGAAAAUAGCAGAGGAUAAGACAGCUGAGUAGGUCUCCUAUUCUGAUGGUUAAGAGAAACAAUGUGCUGAGCUGGAAUAAGCUUGCCACUAGAAACCCACUCAGGAGCUUUGCUGAUGAUGAUGGCAUUUGCGAACUUCUUAUUCAUCUUAAAUCCCUGGGUUAAGCCAAGAGUGAUUUUUCUUCCAAACUGGGAAACUUGAUUGGGAUCAGAACAAAUGAUUUGAU
rnacentral:lncRNA from 1 species